ensembl:lncRNA
CAGAACCUCUCUUGUUACCUCUUAGGAAUGACCAUAAUUUAUAGCCUGCAAUGCCAAUGGGGGUCUCCCAGUGAACAUACAGCUACUCUGGGUGCAUUUCAGCGAGUCAUCUCGGGGCUAAAGACCUUCUCGUAUUUACCUUCUCGGGAAAACACAGAGUUCCUUGUUUGAGGAGAAUGAACAUCACUGAUAAGGAGUUCUGUAUUUACUGAACUGUGUGCUCCUUUUUCCUUCCAGGUAUCUACUGGUUUCCUGCCUUGACAGUUUGGUGCCAUUUCCUGAGACCUCCAAUUCUUCUCCCAGGUGCUGGUUCCAGCCUUGAGGUGACCAUGAGCAAAGCUGUCACUAUGGAGGCUCCCUCAUUCUAAAAAGAAGAAUUGUUUAUUUUUUCUGAAAAAACUCUCUAGGCCAUUCAUUUUAAGGCAAGGUAGGCUCUGGGCUCAGGAUCCUCUGGGCUAUAGACUUUAGAAUCUAGAAGCCCUGUAAUGGGGUAGGCAGGAAGAUGUAUCUCUGAACUUUGUGAACCUUGGUGAGAAGGUGAGGAGCUGAAGGCUCAUGGGUGACUAAAUGCUGCCAAAUCUGGAGGAAUCUGAGGGUCUCCAGGGAUUGUCAGUAUACUUAAGAGGCUUCCAUGUCCUCUGCUUUCUGAUAGAGAUAAACAUAUACAGAAGAAGCACUGAAGAAAGUUCAUUACGUUCAUCUUCAGGACCAGACAAUGGAAAGAAAGAUCUGGGGGCCAGCUCUGACCAGGGGGACAAAAGUCACCCAAGGUCACCCAAAGAGAGACACCUAGUCAUGGCAAAAUUUCUCUGAAGCAUUCAUCUUCUGUUCCUGCAUGGGUGUUAAAAACUCAAGUCCUGAUUUCUGUAAACUGGCAAACUCCCCACCCACUUGGUACCCAGGGCAGUGGCCUUUGGCUGGUGCUCUUACUGCUCUGGUGUUCAUUAAGUUCCUUCUACAUUUUGGGCCCCUGGAGAUUUCCCUUAAUUUUUUGGUGAGCUCACCUAUGCAUUUACAGGAAUGUUCGUUACGUAUAUCUAGUACUUCUAGCUGUUCUGUUGUGGGCAGUUUCUACGUAAUCACAUCCUCCAUAUUGCCAGAAAUGAAGUCUUUGGAAUCUAAUGUAAAGGGGAUGGAAAAAGAUCAACAAUGGACACCUUUUCUUGCUCUUAGCAGGGAGGGUCAGGCAUUGGUGAAGUCCUGAAUCAGGGUCUUCGAGGAAGCAGUACUUUCUCUCAGUCUUCUCCUCAGCAUGGAUAGAAGCAAAUCAUAUGAAGACCCUGCUUUGACAGUUCAGUUGCAGGUCCUUCUAGUUGUGGCAUGUGGGACGCCGCCUCAACGUGGCCUGACCAGUGGUGCCAUGUCCGCGCCCAGGAUCUGAACCAGCGAACCCUGGGCCACUGCAGCAGAGCAUGCGAACUUAACCACUUGGCCUCGGGGCCGGCCCCAUCCAAGUCGUUUUUAGGGCAUAUGUGAGCUUGUGACCAGAGGCAAAUGGCCAGAGCCACUGAUCCAACCGUGGAUGCCAGAAUGAUGUCCCAAGGCUCAAAUGGGGCCAUCGACACCUCAGGGAUGAGAUCCAACAACUUGCUCCGUGGUACAGACCAGUGAGGACCAGAGGAUGUCACUCAGGCAGGGUUAUGGCCCUUCAAUGCUUGUGAGUCUCACCUCUUCUGACUUUUGCUACUGGACUUGAUGGCGGCUCAGAAGAAUGCUGUGGAAGAAUUCUCAUAGGAAACCUGAAAAGCCUCCUGAGCUCUGAAGAGAUGCAUGGAGAAUUCCAUUUUACCGAGUCAAGAGGAUCAAUUAAAAUGCCACGUCUGCUAGGUUUAAGGUGAAAUAGAGCCCCUGGAGAUUCAGAAGGACCACUUCGAGAGUUUCUGCCUCAGGGAAACCUCCCAGAAUUGUAAACUGGUUGUUCAGGUGAUGAAAUUUGUCCAGAGUCUGUGCCACCCAGAUGCAAGAAAAUAAAUCCACAACUUUGGCCAAAUUGAUAAUGAGUAAUGAUUAACAAAAUGUUCUUUUUCCUGGCUGGACUCCCGGGAGAGAGACUUUGUUUCUCCCAGGUGGCUUAAAGAGGAGCUUGCCUUUGUGUGUUCUCCACAUUCCAGGAAAGAUGAAGGUAGAGCUAACGUCUCUCCUGCAGGCGAAGUUCCCUGUCCUAGGUGGUCUUUAUGGAUCAGGCUGCCUCCUAAUUACAUACUGAUCAUUUAAAAAGUGAAACUCCAGGGAGCGACGGGCCAGUGAGCAAUUCCUCUGACUCCUCAGAGCCAUCAGACUCACGUGGUAAGUCGUUACCUCCAUGAUAUCAUAUUUCAAGAGCUUCGGAACAUAACCUGGUGCUCCCUGCCUGAAGUCCCACAUGACAUUAGCCCCGACUGAAAUUGAGUCUACUGGAAGAAGUCACCUCUAAGCCUUAUCUGCUACCUAAAUUUUAGUAUGAAAGAUUUUUUACUUAAAAGGAAUACGUGGGGGAAAGCUGGGAAUAUCAAAUGUUAUUAGCAUUUCUUUCACGUUUGGCCCCACGCAAUUCGAAUGGACUUGUUUGUAGUUUAAUAAAUCAAUGUCUAUAAAGAAGCAAUGAGAUGAAAAGUGGCAAACAAGGUCCCAGUAACCACUAUUUUAAGGAAAUGCAGACCAUAAUGAUCAGCAGAGGGAGGGAGGAUAGGGGGCUAUUGACAAGGCCGACUGAGAAAUGACAAAUAAUCCUUUACAUAGAGAGGUUUGCUUAGAAAUGAAUGGUCUGUCUGGGAUUCUUGUAAAGUUACAGGAAUUAUACCAAAUAUGACCCAAGUUUCACUGGAAAUGGUUUAUGGAUCAGAGAAGUAUGUUUGGAGAGACAGUUGAAGAAAAUUCAGUGAAAGCUAUGAAAUGUAAACGAAGUCUAAGAGUCUGGAGCCUUCCAUGAAUGCCUGUGAGGAGUCUUUCCCAAGCAGAAUUCUUUUGGGAAUGUAAUUCUGGAUUCCCGUUUUCGUCACUUGACGCUUAAUAUGUGCCUUUCUCUUCUGGGUGAGUUGGGCAUAUGCAUACUUAACAUCUCCCCUCGUUCUCCAUAUUGCUUAGCAGAAUGCAAGAGUUUCACAGACAGAGGUUGGAAGGAAGGAAGGAAGAAUGAAAGAGAAGGAUAAGGAAAAGACAUAGGGGAAAACAUGGAAGGAGGGAAGAGAAAGAAAGAAAAAGAAGCAAGUCCUACUAGAGCCUAGAAAAUAGAAUGCAGACAGAAAUAGAGGCUUUGUUUAUUCUGCUUCACAGUCAGGCUGUAGCCAGGACUGAUAUCUGCCUUCCUGUCCUGGGAGCGGGGUGAUCUUGCUUAUCUGAGCUUGGGAUACAACCAGUAAUGGGAUUCUAGAAUGAGCAGUGCCCACACGGCUCCCUAGGAAGACCAGUCAAAUUGAGUGAAUCUUAGAGAGGUAAAGAAAGAGAAAAUGAGGAGAGAAAGAGGAGGCCCAGGAGGUGUUAUGUGGGGAAGAACGAGGCAAGUGCGUUUAUUUCCAAUACACAGUAAAUGUUUUGCAGGUUGUGCAAGCUAAUAGUCGACACAUGAGGUUGGUCUUGGAUAGAGCAGGUAGUCAAUAAACAGUCCCUGGAAACUGGGGGUGGGCAGAGAAGUAGGUGCUAAAAGAUUUAAGGGAUUAAAUUAUUUUCAAGCAUAUUAGAAGUAUUUAGGUUUCAAAUUGAUGUGCCGAUUAUAAAUAAUUUUAUUUUUUUGGUGAAGCAGGUCCCCAAGGGUCUUGCUAGUCACAUGUGUUUUUGUCCCACUGUGGUCAUUUUAUGGACCACUUCCAAAUUCAAGAUGCUAAAGUAUUUUCUUCUUGUGAAUUGGAGGCCAAGCCAGAGGCUUGUCUCCCUGUGGGCUUCAUGCUUCUGCGAGGGGCCACCUUUUCCUCUUCCUGCUUCCCCACACCCCAUUUCUGCGACCAUUCUCAUUCAGCAAGGACGGGGACCACCAUAUGAAAUGUGGACAACUGUGAGUGUCUGCUGAUGUUCACUGAAGACCUAGACUUCUGCUACUGCCUUCACCCCAAAUCUCCCCCUAGAAUUCCCUCUCUGCUUUCUGGGGUCCCAAUUUCACUGCAGGGAGUUCUGCAGACAACAGCGGCUGGAACGGAAGAGAAUGAAGGAGUCCCAGCAGCUACUCUGUGACGUCCUGAGAUGGAACUUGGGGUGUUUUAAUUUCAAAAGCAGAGUUGAAAGUGGUGAUGAGAUUUCACGGUACCAUUAGUGUGGUACUAGACUUGAGGCACAAAAUGAGUUAAGGAGGCAUCUGGAAGCUGGCUCAGAAUUCAACCACAAUGUUUCUAUGACAAAUUGGCUACUAAUUUGCCAAUAACCAACUUAGAAAUGACUAUUAGAAUCAAGACAUAUCCACUGAGAACUAACAGAACUAAUACGGUCUAACUAUUUCAGAUUUUGCACAAAACUCAGAUGGAUCUAACUUGUCUGAAUUAGGGUCUUCAGGUAAAGUAGAUUGAAUACAUCCUAUUUCAGUGGGCUUGCCCUCAUUACAGGCUGAUUUGCCCACAGGGAAAUAGGCAAUAAAGUCUGAUACUCUGAUGGUACUAACACUUUCUGGAUGUUUGUAGAAGGAGCAACCUUGGUCCAAGUGAACAAGAAAAGAGGAAGUUCCCAAACCACUUGCAAAGGGUUGAGGCCGAAGAACAGAUGUCUCUGGGCUGCCCAGACGUCGGCCGCAUGGCCCAGCAGUGCUGCCGCUGCCGAAACCCCAAGUCUGCAAGUCAGGGUGGUCUGGAAGUGAAGGAUUGUUUUCCUGAGAGUGGUUUCAAGAAUGCAACUCCUCACCUAAUAAAAAGAAUGUGCAAUGAUUAACUGAGUCUAAUAUUAGCAUCUGCAAAAUAAAGAGCAAUUGGGCCUGCUAUUAAAGAACAAACCUUGCAUGCACCCGCUGCCAGGUAAAAUCUGUUCUUUCUCAGUCAUAAAUCUUUCUUGGACGCCAGAGAAGAAUUUCACUUCCGUCAGAAACACUGGGUGAACCGAAGAAAAAGAACAUGCUGUUUUGGAGAUGAAAGCGACUUGAGUUUAAAGGUCUUGGUGCCUUUUCUGUCUGUUUUGCUUGCUUUCUCUGUGGUGUCCUUGACUUGGCCAUGCCUUGCAUUGUUUGUUGGAUGAUGAGGCAGCAGUGGGAAAAGGUCAGGAUGGGUCAUUUGCUUCAGGCUGUAGCUUCAGGCAGAGAACUAGCAUCUGACAUCGAAUCUCACUGUUCUCCAGGGUGGACCCUUGGUGAAACAUCUUUGAACACCGAACCCUUGAUAAUUGUGAAGAAUACAUUAAGAGACUUUAGGAUUUUCCUAAACUUGAGAACUCCAUCCACUAAUUGAGAUGCAGAAGUUGAAUUGAUUUGUUCAUCAAAUAAGGUUACCACUCUUGCUGAACCAGAGACUCAAAUUGGUAGUUGCCACUUUACUUGUAUUACCUAAUCUGACUUCAUGAAACGCUUUGAUGUAAGGCAGUGGUUUUCAAAGUAUGGGCCUCACAAUACCAGCAUCACCCGAGAACUUGCUAGAAAUGUACAUCCUUGGGUCCCAUUCCAGACUUACUGGGCCAGCAAUCUCCCUCUUCAGUAAGUCCUCCAAGUGUUUCUGAUGGACGCUAAAGUUUGGGAACCACUAAUGUAGGAAACAUUAUCACCAUAAAACAUAUUAUAUGCUGUGAUGUCUUGGAACUUUGAAGUCUCUCUUAUAGCUAAAACUUUAAAUUCUAGCUUUCCAAGGAUCUUCAGUACCAUGCGUGCAGUAGGCAGUCAAUAAAUGUUCCCUAUAGAUGCUGUGUCUCUGAGAUAGUAAUCAUCUUUUAUUUUCCUCUUUUCCUCCCUUCCCUCCUUGCUCCCUCCCUUCCUACUUUCUUCCCUUUCUGCCUUCUUUCCUUCUCCUUCUUUUCUUUUUUGUCUGCCCUGUAUCACUUUGGGGAGCAUCUCUUCCCCUUUACAUAUAUUUUAGAUGGUGCUGAUAAUCAAGUGGGUCUGAUCUCACCUACCACUCAGUGUCCACUUCACCCAGGCUGGCCAAUCAAAGUGCUCCACUCUCUGGACACAGUAAUUGGUCCAGAGGUCCUAGCAGGGCCACUGAGAGCCUUUGGGUUGGGGAGAUCAAUAUGAACUUUAUGAAGGAAAGACUGUCUAUUCCCGACUUUGUGAGCACCAAGAAACCAGGUGAACUUGGAACUUCUUGGGGGCUCAUCUUCCUCCACAUGCAGAUGGUCUGCCUGGGAAUGAAGCCAUCUCAGAGGAAGGCAAAGCCAAGUUCUGGACGGAGAGAGGGCAGGGAGUUGAUGUCACCUUUUGAACCCAGAGCUUCACCAUGCCUUGAAGUCAGAAUCCGCUCUCUCCUUGGACGUCAUAUUCAAUUCAACGUUCCCUGGGAAUACCUUAAUCUGGGAUCCUGGGGACAUUCCUAUUAAUGAUUUUGUACUUAUUGAAAAAGUAGGAGAUACACAUACAAAUUGGUACCUAGUAGACUGUGUCAUUUAGAAAGUUAAAGUCCCUUGUGAUGAUAACCACUACUUCCCUGAAAAUCACUGUAUGUAGUUUUGUGCAUAUUCCUUUAGAUUUUUCUGUCAGUAUACUAAUAAAUUGCGAUGUUAACUGAGAAUUUUCUUGAUGCCGCAGUUUUUCUAGAAGCCAAUAAAAUCAAGGAUAAAGCAAUAGGUUCUAACACCUACAUUCUAGAGUGAGCUUGUUGGACUGUUCAUGCAGGAUUUGUAAAGCGAGUGAUCCAGGCCUGCCAUUAUUAGCUCAUAUAAGAGGUUAUAUUAAAAAAAGCCUAUGAAUUCAUGAGGGCAUUGACAAGGCCAAUAGGAGCACAUCUGUAGAGAACAUUCUCAGCAUGGCGAGGGCCACCCCCAUCCUGACAUAGGGGCAGAGAAAACUUCCCUUUCACCCUAAGCCAAGUAGGGGAGGUGACUUCAAGAAAAUCACUCAGGGGAUGUCUUAUGCAUCCACUGGAAUUUGGGUAUGUGGUACCUGGUACCUCAUUCAUCCUUUAUUGCUACCCACAGGGCAGCAGAGGGAAGAGAUGAGACUGAACUCAUAAUUUGAUUUAAUCUGACUUGAUUUCCUCUCUGACUGUCUGCCAACUGUUUCCAAUUUGGAACGGUUACAAAAUGUGAAAUUAUUCUGGCAGAAUGCAUCUAUCUGGUUUGGUUGACCCUUGGAAAACCUUCCUCCAUCAUAUCCAAUCAUGGAUUUCUCCUCCAAACCCAUGACCUUUCUUUUACACUCUCCUGAGUCAUUCUUCCCAACCUGGGUCCCCGCCACUCAACAGACUCAGGCACCACACAGUGAGGUGGUUAUUAUUGUGUGAAGUUAUUUCGUAGGGCCAGUUACACUGGUCAUACACACAAUGACUUUAGAUAUGUGUGCACAGACAGUGGCAUUCUUUACAAUAAUUUCCAGGUCUAUGUCCCAAUUAACACCAGAAAUUUCUGGAACUAUAAUUCUUUUUCUGGACUCUCUAUAUACCUUUCCAUCCCCAGUUUCUUCUCCAUGUACCCAAAUAAACUCCACUGCAUAAAGUUCUUGAAUUCUGCUUAUGGGAUCUCCCCUCACUGAAUCCCCUCUUUUCUGUGCAUCUAGCUAUUAGGUUCUACUCCCUUAUAGACGCUGUAAGAAUAUUGUUUAUAAUAACCAUUUAUUAAUUUUAAAUAAGUGCACUUUUGCCACAUUAUCCCAUCUCUUACUCAUAAAAUCCUUCUGAGGUAACUCUGUCUCCAUUUUGAAGAUGGAAAAAGAGAGGCUCGGAGGGAUUGAAUGAUUUGCCCAGUGUCACACAGCAAGUAAGUAGUGGAGGUAGGACAAGGACUCAGAUUUUCCUUCCUUGUAAGAUCUAUCUUCUUUUCCUUACGACCCCAUCUCCUCACUGCCUACUCUCUGAAGCCACAGGAUUACAUUCAGGUCCACCAGUUUCAGCUAUUUCUCUCUGCUCUAUAUCUCUAUCCUUUCUCUUCAAACUCUCUAGAAAUACUUCAAACUCUUUCAGAAGUUUCUAUUAGUAGAGUUAUAUUUCAAGCACUCUGAUCCUGGUCAGACUUCGGGCUGCCAGUCUACAAAAGAAUUUUCGGGAGCAAAUUGCUUCUGCUGAUCAGUCCAACUUGAAUAUUUGAGACUUUUGUUCUAUUAACUUUUCUUCAGAGGUGUUUUCUUUUUUAAAAGAAAAAUAUUUCCCUCCGAACAGAAAAGAGUUGAAAUUCCCAUUUGUGGGAUGGGGGAGGUUUCUAAAAAAAAUCAAGACGUUUCUAAAAACAACAACUUGAGCAAAUAUCUGAAAAAUGCUAGUAAAUUAAAAUAUUCACUCAAAAAUCAUUGUUUCAUCAUCAUUCUGUAUGUAUAUAACAUAUUUACUUUUUCUCUUCCCAUAUCACUCUUGGCUACCAGCAGUUUUUAUGAAAUCUUUGUUCUAUAUAAUUGUUUUUUUGUCAACUUUUCAAUUAACAAAGAGAAAAAAAGGAUGAUCUUUAAUAAUAUUACUUGCUUUUGACUUUUGAUAUAACAUUCUAAAAUUGUUGACACUGAAUAAUAAUGGAAAUAAAGAGUAAAAAGGGCUUAUUACUUGUGUGUAACUGCCUGAACGGACGCUAAGUGAUUUAUACAAUUGAUUUCAAAAUUUAAAUCUUUUUUAAAAAUACACUUUCAAGUAUGUUGGUUUUCAUCUUAUCUGUCUAAAUAUUAGGCUUCCGGGUUUAUACGUCCACUGAAAGUGGCUCGGAUUAACAGCAUUUAUUCUUGGUUCUCGGGAAAAAAUGACAUAACCUAAUUUCGUAUGUCUAAAAACACGAGUUGCAAAACAGCAUUUACGGUAAAUGUUUACAAACACAGCCUCACUUGACCUUCAAAACAACCCAGUGAAAUAUUAUCAUUAUUUACAAGGUGAGAAGUCUGAAGGUCAGAAGGCCCUCAUUCUGUAAACAUUGAUUAAGGUUUACAGGGCCGAGGAGAAGAAAUCUUCAGGGCGGCCAUUUGGCCCAAUCUGCAGGCUUAAAAGGGAUGUUCACUACAGCUGUUUUUAAGUGGAGAUUUUGUCUGUGGAAACAGGGUCUGUUCCUGUCUCUGAUACCAACUUCAACCUAGAAUCACUCUUCUGUUUUUUCUCAAAAAGCUACAUGGCUGUCAUUUCAGAAACUGUGAUGGUCACUCAGAGGUACUAGGAGAUGGCAAGCUGGUAGGGUUGCCAGAUAGAAUAUAGGACUCCCAGCUAAAUUUUAAUUUCAGAUAAACAAUGGGUCAUUUUUAAGUAUAAGUUUGUCCCAAUAUCUCAGACAUACUUAUAUUAAAAAUGAUCCAUUGUUUAUCUGAAGUUCAAUUUUAACUGGACGUCCUGUAAUUUUAAUUUGCUAAAUCUGGCAAUCCUAUAAGCUGGCUUUGUAGGCAAGAAGCAGUUGGUGGCCUGGUUCAAGCUUUAAGGAGAGUGAUUCUACUAAUAACACCAUGCGAGGCAGACAAAUGCAGAAGCCAAAGCUGGACUUUGCUGCUUGGGUUCAUUUUGUGGUUCCACUGCUUACCAGCUUACUUCACCUCCCUGAGGCUCAGUUCCCUCCUCCGCAAAACAGCAGAUAACAGUAUCUAUUUCCUUAGGAUUAUUGUGAGAAGUAAAUAAAAUAAUCCAGCAUAUCUUUCCCAUGAUAAAUGCUCGAUAAACUUUGUUUUUACGUUAUUUCCACAUAGUGCGUCCUCUUCCCAGAGAACACAGUCACAAUAAUCCUUUGAAUUAUCCAUAAUAUAUCUAUAUCUAUGUCUGUAUCUGUGUCUACAUCUGUAUCUACAUCUGUAGCUAUAUAUGGAGUUUCUUACCGGCCAGGACACUUGUAACUAGUAACUGCA